CGUGGAGGGCGCUGUUCCGUCUGGAUGGCUCCCGCCAUCAGCGGGAGGCUACACCCCCUACCAGCAGGAGCAAGAGGAGCAGCGGGAGGGGAGCAGGCCGCCGUCCUGCGGCCUGGUUGAGCUCGCACUGACAAUCGCAGGCCCAGUAACCCGCAGGUCACCGCGCUCCCCACCUGCGUUGCUGACGGUGACAUCGUCGGGGGAGGGGGGCGCGCCUUCCCAGAGGCUCAGGUCGCGAGGGUAGCCGGGGUCCGGGCGCGCCGCCGCCUCGUCGUAGCGCCAGUACUGCCGGCCGCGGACCAGCUCAGGUGCUCAGAACUGCCAGGACCCAGAGGAUUCACAUGCCAGCCCCGGCUGAAGCCCAGCUCCUCAUCAACCGGUGAGCCGCCUGCCAGCUCCUGCUUUGGCUGCCGAGAGGCCUGAAGUGACUAAGACAGAGACACAGCCCCGCAGCACCACAGGGAGGCCCCAAUUACCCCAUGCGGAUGAGUUUCAUGGCCACCUCUAACUAAGGUCAGCACUGUUCAGGGCAGGUUCAUAGGUAACGACCUGGUGAACUGAAAAGCAAAUUUCUCUCCGUCACUAAAGCCACUCGCUGAGCGUCUAAGCAUGAAACGUGAUUCCUAAGAGGGGUAGCAAACACGUUUUCAUUCACUUCUCACCAAACCUGUCUCCUACGUCCAUUUUACAGAGGAGGAAACUGAGGCACAGAGACUUCAAGGAAAGGACAUCGAUGUCAUCUGUAACUUCCGGUGCACUGGGGCACACAGCUGCAUCUCCCCAUGCUCACCUCCUGCCUCUUGCUCUGCCCAGUGUGAGGACUUAGCCUGGAUCACCUCCUCCAGGACAAGAACAACCUACCAUCAUCUGUCCGUCCAAUCUACCCACCCAUCCAUCUCUGCCUCUGGGCAUGCAUCUGUCCGUCCAUCCAUCCCUGCCUCUGUGCACGCAUCUGUCAGUCUAUCAAUCGCCGAUCCCUUCUUUGUAUCAGUGUUGAGCGCUCACAACUCCCUCAUCCUAAGAUGCUCGUUGGAUCCAUUCCCUCCUCUCACCCCAUGCCGCUCUCUGCCCUCCCUUCCCGGUCAAGUUCUCCAGCCACAGGUCUCAACUCAAUCCUCACUUCCCCCGCUCCUCUCACACCUAUCCCCACUGCGUUCUAAAUUCUUCCCCAACACGCUGGGUCUACAGGCACUAAAAAGUGCACCUUGUCCCUGGAGGACCAAACACAGGCCAAUGUAACUUACUGGGCUUGUUUUGCCCCAGCCACGGCUGACCACUUCCUCCUUCACUCUUGUUGUUGAUAACCUUUGGGCUCAGUCUUUCUCCAUCUCUGUUGAGUCCUUCUCCCCGCCACCUACCCCUUCAUGCUGGGGUUCUCUGUAGCUCUGUACCUGACUGUCAACAUUCCACCCUUUCCUCCCAGAAGCUCGCCAACCCCGCAGACUGCUGGCUCUCAGUCCUACAGCAGCUGACAAUGCACAGCAUGCGGCCCGGGGCAGGCCCUGUGCUGAGAGGCAUGGGUGAAUGGCUCAUUUCAUCGGCAAGCCCACGCCACCAGCAGGCGCCAUUCUCCUCGCAUUUCUCAGGGUCUCACUUUGUCACCCAAGCCGCAGUACAGUGGUGUGAACACAGCUCAUUGCAGUCUCAACCUCCCUGACUCAAGCAAUCCUCCUGUUUUAGCCUCCUGAGUAGCUGGGACUACAAGCUUGUGCCACCACGCCUGGCCGAAGCCCAUAUCUGAAUGUUGAGGCACACAGCCUCCCCAGCCUCUGCCUCACCAAGCCCUCCGCAGGGUCUAGGCACCCUCCCUGGCUGCCCCCUUCCCCCCUCACUCAGGCUCCCCAGCAGACAAUGUAGUUAAUAUGGGGCUACAAAGAGCUGGGCCUGGCCUCAGGCGGGACUGCCUCCCCGGCAUUGCCAUCCCUGCUGCAGAGCUCCCAUGCGAUCAGGCUCCUCUCCAGCUGAGACCACAUCCUCACUGAGCUUCUAGGCUGUUCCUGCUUCCCCCUCAGCACAUGGUCCCUGAGAAACUGCUUGCACAAGAAUUUCCCUCUGGAGCUCCACCUCUGGGGAACCUGACCUCAGACAGAGGAGACCAAGCUCUAGGGCAGGAUCCUCAGCUUCCCUUGCCCCACCUGUGUGGCCAGCCAGGAGCGCCGCAGACUCCCGCCCAGACCUGCACUCGUGCCUGCCUUCUGCCAGCCUGCUCCUCCCCCUCCCACUCUCCCACCUGCAUUAGCAGCACCAGGACGCCAUCCUCCAAGGGCCCCAGCCUCACGUCCCCUGUCACCAGGAUCCAGCCAGAUCUCAAUCCUUGCCCAUCCUAACUGAGCCUCCCUCAGAUCCGUCCACUGCCCCCUUCCCCAGGACCACACUCCACCAUCUCUUGCCUGGACCCUGCGAGAACUUCCUGCCUCCCUGCCUCUACCCUACCCCCUGCCCCCCGCUGAAGCUGAUGAUAGUUCCAGAAAGCAAAACCCCUUAAUGUUUCCCCCAUUGAACAAAGUCUUCCACAUGCUUUCAAGGUCUUUGGUGAUCCGAGACCUGCCUCCUUCUGCAGUCUCCCUACUGAUGCCAUAGUUUUGGCUUCUGGCCUCAGAUGUCCCGGGUCAUUUCCCUGCUCACUGUCUCCUCAUAUCCCUGACUCAGCUGGCUCGCUGCUUUCCCGUUGGAUCUCAUGUAUCAUGAGAUACAUGAUAUAUAUCAUGUAUAUAUAUAUAUUUGAGAUGGAGUUUUGCUCUUGUUGCCCAGGCUGGAGUGCAGUGGCACAAUGUCAGCUCACUGCAACCUCUGCCUCCAGGAUUCAAUCGAUUCUCCUGCCUCAGCCUCUCCAGUAGCUGGGAUUACAGGUGUGCACCACCAUACCCGGCUAAUUUUUUGUAUUUUUAGUAGAGACGAGGUUUCAACAUGUUGGUCAGGCUGGUCUCAAACUCCUGACCUCAGGUGAUCCACCCGCCUGUGCCUCCCAAAGUGCUGGGAUUACAGGUGAAAGCAAUCGCGCCCAGCCUAUAUUCAUAUAUAUAUUGAGGGAAUGAAGUCACCUCUUCUAGGAAGCCUCCCCUUGCCCAAGAGCUUUGGGCCAACAUCUCUGAGCCCCUGCAGGCUUGAGGACUUCCUCUGCUGGGAUUCUGUGGAGCUGUGUCACCGUGGGUGUUGUCAUUGCCAGUCACUCUUCUGACUCAGCUGCCAGAAGAGUUCCUCGGCCCUGCCUCCAGAAUAUACAUCCCGAAUCCAGCUACUUCUGGCCACAUAUGCCACCCAUCCUCCUGCCACCAUCCCUCGUGUGGACUCUGCAGCUGCAUUCUGCCUGGUCUCAGGGCUCCUGCCUUCCAUUCUCCAUCAGGACCCAGAGGAAGCUUAAAACUGCAAGUCAAAGCCAGGCACAGUGGCUCACGCCUGUAAUCCCAGCACUGUGGGAGGCCAAGGUGGGCUGAUCGCUUGAGGCUAAGAGUUUGAGACCUGCUUGGCCAACAUGGCAAAACCCUGUCUCUACUAAACACACAAAAAAAUUAGCUGGGCAUAGUGGCGGAUGCCUGUAGUCCCAGCUACUCAGGAGGCUGAGGCACGAGAAUCGCUUGAACCCGGGAGGCAGAGAUUGCAAUGAGCCGAGAUUGCGCCACUGUACUCCAGCCUGGGCGACAGAGUGAGACUCUGUCUAAAAAAAAAAAAAAAAAUUGCAAGUCA